UACGGGGGGGGCAAGCGUUGUUCGGAAUUACUGGGCGUAAAGGGCUCGUAGGUGGCCAACUAAGUCAGACGUGAAAUCCCUCAGCUUAACUGGGGAACUGCGUCUGAUACUGGAUGGCUUGAGUUUGGGAGAGGGAUGCGGAAUUCCAGGUGUAGCGGUGAAAUGCGUAGAUAUCUGGAGGAACACCGGUGGCGAAGGCGGCAUCCUGGACCAAUACUGACGCUGAGGCGCGAAAGCGUGGGGAGCAAACGGG
rnacentral:rRNA from 1 species